UACGGAGGGUGCAAGCGUUAUCCGGAUUCACUGGGUUUAAAGGGAGCGCAGGUGGGCUAGUAAGUCAGUGGUGAAAUCUCCGAGCUUAACUCGGAGAUUGCCGUUGAUACUAUUAGUCUUGAAUAUUGUGGAGGUUAGCGGAAUAUGUCAUGUAGCGGUGAAAUGCUUAGAUAUGUCAUGGAACACCAAUUGCGAAGGCAGCUGGCUACACAAAUAUUGACACUGAGGCUCGAAAGCGUGGGGAUCAAACAGG
rnacentral:rRNA from 1 species